ensembl:ncRNA C31G12.14 ncRNA
CACUAGAAUUGCGUCAAGGAACUAGAAUUGCGUCAAGGAACUAGAAUUGCGCCAA